CUGAGCGGCGGACGGGUGAGUAACGCGUGGGUAACCUGCCCUAGAGUGGGGGACAACAGUUGGAAACGACUGCUAAUACCGCAUAAGCCCACGGUACCGCAUGGUACUGAGGGAAAAGGAUUUAUUCGCUUUAGGAUGGACUCGCGUCCAAUUAGCUAGUUGGUGAGGUAACGGCCCACCAAGGCGACGAUUGGUAGCCGGACUGAGAGGUUGAACGGCCACAUUGGGACUGAGACACGGCCCAGACUCCUACGGGAGGCAGCAGUGGGGGAUAUUGCACAAUGGGGGAAACCCUGAUGCAGCGACGCCGCGUGGAGGAAGAAGGUUUUCGGAUUGUAAACUCCUGUCGUUAGGGACGAUAAUGACGGUACCUAACAAGAAAGCACCGGCUAACUACGUGCCAGCAGCCGCGGUAAAACGUAGGGUGCAAGCGUUGUCCGGAAUUACUGGGUGUAAAGGGAGCGCAGGCGGGAAGACAAGUUGGAAGUGAAAACCAUGGGCUCAACCCAUGAAUUGCUUUCAAAACUGUUUUUCUUGAGUAGUGCAGAGGUAGAUGGAAUUCCCGGUGUAGCGGUGGAAUGCGUAGAUAUCGGGAGGAACACCAGUGGCGAAGGCGGUCUACUGGGCACCAACUGACGCUGAGGCUCGAAAGCAUGGGUAGCAAACAGG
rnacentral:rRNA from 1 species